UACGUAGGGUGCAAGCGUUGCCCGGAUUUAUUGGGCGUAAAGGGCGCGUAGGCGGCUCGGCACGUCCGUUGUGAAAUCGCCCGGCUCAACUGGGCGGGGUCAGCGGAUACGGCCGAGCUUGAGCAAGCUAGGGGGCUAUGGAAUUCCCGGUGUAGUGGUGAAAUGCGUAGAUAUCGGGAGGAACACCAGUGGCGAAGGCGACUACCUGGCCUGUUCUUGACGCUGAGGCGCGAAAGCUAGGGGAGCAAACGGG
rnacentral:rRNA from 1 species